UCUUGGCUUCUGUCGCAUCUCAACUCAGAACGACAGAACCCUAUUGAUUGAUUUCUCCUUUAAUGUAGGUUGUCUUGAUUUAUUUUUGUUUUGAUUUUGUAGGUUGUUUUGAUUUUGUAGGUUAAAGAGACUAUUUCAAAGAGGGGGUGUUUCAUCUUAUUUGAUUCGCGGGAUAUCCAAGUGUUGGGAUAUAUUGUUCGCAUAUAACCAUAUGAAUGCAGACAGUUUAUUGCAGACCUUGGAUAGCUUUGCUGGAUAGGAUAUUCUUGGGUGAAUUUGGGGUGUGGUGGUGAUGCUUUGUGAGGGUUGUUCCUGGUGUGUUGCUGGAAAAAUCAGAGGUCGAGAUUUGCCAUCCUUUUUUUUUUGAUAUUCCACUUUUCGUUUGUUGUUAUUUCUUGGUUAAUCCUUCGUGUUCUUUUUUUUCUGGCGACCUUAGUGUACUGCUUGCAGAUAAUGGGUAUGUGAUGCACUUUCUGAGGGAAACGGUACAACAGCUGGAUAGAGCCUAAGAUGAGUGUUCUAACAAGCAAACUCUUAAUUGAUGUACAUGUAGGGGAUAGUCCUAAGGAAAAGAACAGCUGCAACCAAAACGAUUAAUGACUGCUACAUCAUUAGCGCCUGCAGCAGAUAAAGCUGAAGAGAUUCGAUCGAGUUUGGAUCUCAAGUUUCCCAGUGUUGUUAAAAUUAUGAUCUGUUCAAGUGUUUCUGUGGACUUUGGCUGGGACUUCCCUCAAUAUUUUGUUCUUCGAGUCUGCCAAAGAAGGAUACCAAGUUUUACCUUGGUGGGUGAGGAUGGAGAGGCGUAUACUGCAAAAUAUCUUCCUCGGAGGCUUGGAUUGAGUGGUGGUUGGAAAGGGUUUUCCAUUGCUUACAACUUGGCGGAGGGAGACGCCUUGGUGUUUCACUUUGUUGGAAUAUGGUACGUAUACAAUGUGAAUCAAGUUAGCAGAGAAGUUGUUUGGAAGAUUUAGUCAUCUAGUAAUUCAAGUAUUGUAGCUAGAGUCUGUUACUAGGUUAACUGUUUAGUGUUUAUCUUAACAUCCUAAUUCCUAUAAAUAGGAAUCAAUAAUGUAUUUGUAAAUCACUCAAUCAUCUCCAGUAUUGAGCAGCAA